GAAAACAGGACAAACAAACAACCUUUCAUCAAUUGUCGGUUGUCUGUCUACUCCCCAUUUCGAGCAAUCACCUACAAUAAGAGUCUUCAAUGAGAGUUGCUCCCAUAAAUGCCAAAAUAACAUUUUCGAUUUAUGGAGGGUUAAAGUUGGGAACAAAAACAUGAAAGUGGG